rnacentral:rRNA from 1 species
GACGAACGCUGGCGGCGUGCUUAACACAUGCAAGUCGAGCGGUAAGGCCUUUCGGGGUACACGAGCGGCGAACGGGUGAGUAACACGUGGGUGAUCUGCCCUGCACUCUGGGAUAAGCCUGGGAAACUGGGUCUAAUACUGGAUAUGACCUCAGCAUGCAUGCGCUGGGGUGGAAAGCUUUUGUGGUGCAGGAUGGGCCCGCGGCCUAUCAGCUUGUUGGUGGGGUAAUGGCCUACCAAGGCGACGACGGGUAGCCGACCUGAGAGGGUGACCGGCCACACUGGGACGGAGACACGGCCCAGACUCCUACGGGAGGCAGCAGUGGGGAAUAUUGCACAAUGGGCGGAAGCCUGAUGCAGCGACGCCGCGUGAGGGAUGAAGGCCUUCGGGUUGUAAACCUCUUUCAGCAGGGACGAAGCGUGAGUGACGGUACCUGCAGAAGAAGCACCGGCUAACUACGUGCCAGCCGCCGCAGUAA